rnacentral:rRNA from 1 species
AAGUCGUAACAAGGUUUCCGUAGGUGAACCUGCGGAAGGAUCAUUAAUGAAAUUCAAGGACGCUCUUUUUAGAGGUCCGACCAAUUACAUUUACCUUUACUCUGUGCACACACUACUCUUUACACCAUUUUUUAACUCUAUAGUUUUAAGAAUGUAAAACAAGUCUCGAAAGAGCAACAUAACAAAACAAAACUUUCGGCAACGGAUCUCUUGGCUCUCGCAUCGAUGAAGAACGCAGCGAAAUGCGAUACGUAAUGUGAAUUGCAGAAUUCAGUGAAUCAUCGAAUCUUUGAACGCACCUUGCACUCUUUGGUAUUCCGAAGAGUAUGUCUGUUUGAGUGUCAUGAAACUCUCAACCCCCUCAUUUUGUAAUGAAGUGAGUCGUGGGCUUGGAUUAUGGCUGUCUGUCGGCUUAAGUGCCGGCUCAGCUGAAAUACACGAGUAACCCAGUUUGAAAAACUGACGGCUUGACUCGGCGUAAUAAUUAUUAUCGCUGAGGACGUCUGACCUUCAAAUCGUUAGUGGUGCUUCUAAUGCAAAUCAUUUAAGAUUUAGACCUCAAAUCAGUCAGGAUUACCCGCUGAACUUAA